GAAGAACGCUGGAGGCGUGCCUAAUACAUGCAAGUAGAACGCUGAAGGAGGAGCUUGCUUCUCUGGAUGAGUUGCGAACGGGUGAGUAACGCGUAGGUAACCUGCCUGGUAGCGGGGGAUAACUAUUGGAAACGAUAGCUAAUACCGCAUAAUAGUAGAUGUUGCAUGACAUUUGCUUAAAAGGUGCAAUUGCAUCACUACCAGAUGGACCUGCGUUGUAUUAGCUAGUUGGUGAGGUAACGGCUCACCAAGGCGACGAUACAUAGCCGACCUGAGAGGGUGAUCGGCCACACUGGGACUGAGACACGGCCCAGACUCCUACGGGAGGCAGCAGUAGGGAAUCUUCGGCAAUGGACGGAAGUCUGACCGAGCAACGCCGCGUGAGUGAAGAAGGUUUUCGGAUCGUAAAGCUCUGUUGUAAGAGAAGAACGAGUGUGAGAGUGGAAAGUUCACACUGUGACGGUAUCUUACCAGAAAGGGACGGCUAACUACGUG
rnacentral:rRNA from 1 species